rnacentral:sRNA from 1 species
GGAUGUGAGGGCGAUCUGGCUGCGACAUCUGUCACCCCAUUGAUCGCGAGGGUUGAUUCGGCUGAUCUGGCUGGCUAGGCGGGUGUCCCCUUCCUCCCUCACCGCUCCAUGUGCGUCCCUCCCGAAGCUGCGCGCUCGGUGGAAGAGGACGACCAUCCCAGAUAGAAGGAGUGUACCGUUCUUCGGUCAAGGGUAUACGAUAGCAAGGACUGCUCAACCUUUCCCAUUCCAGUUAUUUUUCUGCUCUGAAUGGUCUCCCUGGUGACUUCUGUCUUUCUAGGAAAAUGCUAUUUGUAUACAUUUGUGAAUAUUAUUC